GAUAUCAAUAUUGCAUUUUCUAUUAAAUGUGGUUGUAAAAUACAAGUUUAACCCAGAAAUAUCUGAUUAAGACACGGACAUUAAAAAUUAUAAACAAGCAAAAUUUAAGACAGAAAACACAUGCUGUAUAUUAGAAAAUCGUAUGAUAAAAUCACACGUUACCUUACUUCUAACGCGACAAAGUGAAAGGUCAAAACUUACUCUGCCUCACAGGUAGUAGCAGCUUAUGUCAGUUCACUUCCAUUAUUUGCCAAACCUGCACAUAUCAUCUAACUUCUAAUGCAGUUAAAAACAUUAUCCUAUAUUUAGAAAUGUUUAUAUGACAACGAAAAACGAUUGGACAUUUCAAUGUUCACGCCUUAAUCAAAUUUCUUGGUAUAUAACUUAAAGGUUCUUUGGUGUUUUAAUUCACAUACUUCUACUAUACAAGUUCUUUAGCAACAUAAAACAAAAGUUCAUUCAUUAUGAUGAAUGUGUUAGAUGGAGUUACUCAUCAAAAAGAAUGUUAUAUAGAAUUAGUAAAAGGAAAUGCGGCGAAAAAAUAUUCGAAAUAACUUGUUACUGCAAUGGAUUUACUAAAUAUACUCAUUCAGUUCAUACGAGCUUUUGGUGUCAUAUCCUCACAUUCUAUCUUAUUACUGGCGUCUAUUGCAGACAGGUUGUUGUUUGUCAUUGUACCAAUGCAAACCCGUGGACAGACGUUAAACCUGAAAAAGCACCAGCAACGUAACACCUGUAUCACCCGGCAACAACAAAAUCGGAUACUUUGCAGAAGCUGUAACCAAAAAACAGAGCUAUUUUUUCUGGGAGAAAACGUAUCAUAACUAUGGAAAUGAAACAAUGAUUUUUCAGCUAAAGAUUUUAAAACAAUUCUGGUGGUCAUAAUUAGUUCAAGUCUGCAAAAUAAUAACAACAUGUAAAAUUAUAUGUAUGUAAUUUGCUUAUAGUAUUGCUUCAUAUUAUAAAUGAUUUCAUAUUAUAAAUGUAUAUUCUGUGAAAACAGGAAGGCACAUCUAAGAUUAAAUAAAAAUUUUGUUAAUAAUCAUUUCUUGAUAAUGAUGAUGUUGCCGCAGUUAAUCGUUUUGACAUCUUCUAUAGACCAGUAAAUAGUUAAAUCUAUUGAUUUUCCUUACUGUACAUGAUGCAUUUUUGACAAUUAGAUUUGUUUAGAAGAUAAAAGAUGUUUACUUAAAUCAUCUGUUAUCUACAUAUGUGCACAUGGAUGCGUAUGCAUCUGAAAUUAUAAGGUAUUUAUUUGAAGUGUGCUUCUCGCAUUUCCUAUGCCUAAAAGUGUUUUCAACUACAACGAAUGGUUUAUCAUUGUCAUAUUAUAAAAUUACAGCAUAAUAGUUACAUUUGUAGAAGGUCAAUACAUUUAAGAAAAAAUGGAAUUAUGUCUCCAGUAGCAUUUUCGCCCAUGUGUGUUUUCAUUUCUAAUACUAUGUUGACAAAAAUCAUUUUGAAAGAAACAUGCGCACCUUUAAAUUACUAAAAUCGAUGUAAAACCGUAAAUCUACAACGCAAUAGAUUUGUUGUAUUCAUAAUGGUGAUAAGAAGGAUGGGUAAAAUAUGAAAUCACAGGAAUAGGAAAACCAAACCGGGAAACCAUACACAAAUAUUUCUCAGUUAUGAUUUGAAGCAAAAAAAUAAAAAUAAACUCAUAACCUCAUGACUAGCUGUACCAUGAGCUUAAUAUGCCUUUUCAACAUAUGCCUACGACCCUACUUACUCCUAUGAAAAAUAAAGAAUGAACACGAUUCGUUGGUUUUAUUACAACGUAUAACUGUAUAUAUGUCGCUCACAUACACGUAUUAACAUCAUAUAAAACGAAUAAAUCAUUUCGUAGUUUUUCUUAUUAAGUCAUUUCUAUUUUAAGACUGUACCAAAAUAAAUAUCCUGAUACCAUUUUAUCAGAAUUAAUUUAAUGUUAUCAUUCCAUAUAUUACCAGCUGAAAAUACUGUACAAUUACCAGCUGAAAACACAACUGACGUUAAUCAAAGACAAUUAGUUAUAAGUACUGUCUACAAAUUGUCAAACAAAAAUAGGCUUAGAAGUCCGCAGAAAGUCUUUUAAAAGUAUCAAAUAUGAGUGAUGUAAAUAAAACAAGAAGAGUAAGACGACGAAGAAGGGCAAAUCUUUGGCUGGAUGCUGAUCAAACGCAGGAAAAGAUACUACCCGCGACGAAAACCGUAUAGCAGACGAGAGUAAAUUUAUUUAGAAAGAUUAAAUGCAAACCUUACAUUCAGAUAUUUACAGGAUUAAAUUGUUUGGCAAUGUGUUGCAUGAUAUAUGUUACAAGCAACUUCAGUAGCUGUUACGCUUCAUAACAUCAAACCUAAACGAAAAUAGUGGAAAGCUGACCUAGGGAAAAUUGGAUCGUUGAAAUAAUUCAUAACGGAAACUGUUAAAGAGAAUUUGGUGUUAACUAUUCUAUUAAAUGUGAACAGUACUUCUUGCAAAUGUACAUUUUAAAAAGCAAGUAUAAUGUAUACUAUAUAAGAAAAGUAGACUCAUAUGAACUCUAUAAACGAGAGACUUUGUCCGCAAUAUGUUUGAAUCCUGUUAUAAGCUGUUUGUAUCUCAACGAUUGUAAAUUUCAAUUUGUGUUGUAACAAGCAGAACAAGCUAAUACAAUUUCUUAUAUUACUCAUUAUUCUGCUUUGCUGAUAUAGAUGCCAUUUCUACUCAGUCUUUUGUUGGUUUUGCAGCUGGUUUUAACAUUAAAAAAACUACAUAGAUUUUCUACAGCGACAUGCAUUUUGCCAUAUACAUUUCCUUUGAAAUACACUUCGAUUUGUCUUACUAGAUCUUCAAAUGUUUUUGUGCUCCUUACUUUGCUGAAAUAAUAAUGAAAAUAUCUCUUUGACGUAAUACUAUUUUAGUAGCCGUUGAUUUUUUCUCACGAGUCCACAUUCGAUUUAUAAAUGUUUCUUUUUUCAGAAAUUGUCAUAUACGCCGCACAAGGGGGUCGAACUCGUGAACCCGCAAUUGAUAGUUUAUCUUGCUAACAGGGCGGUUACUGAAAUCAUUACCAAAAUAUGUAUUUUUGUUGUUAAGACGCAACUCGACAUUUUUGAUUACAAACAAAUUACAGCGGUUUGACACGAGUCAUCAUUUGUUUCAUAUUGUACCGUUACGUUUACAAUGAAGGAAUUGUGCUUUAUAUAUAAAAUGGCGGUAUAUGAUAAGUUUUUCACUGAUUGUGUCUCAGGCAUAUCUAUAUGACAUACUAAAUUACAUACUGAAUGACAUGUAUAACAAUGGAACAACAUGAUACAAGUCAAAUAUAUAGGAAAAUGGUUUUAGAAUAAAUAUCGAUAAAAGUAUGUAGCAUAAGAUAAUCUCCCUUUGCCUGAUCACGAUAACAUUUAGUGUAAAAUGUUAUAUUAUAUAGCUGUUACAUCAAUUAAACACGUAAAAAUGGA
rnacentral:lncRNA from 1 species